CGGUAGUUCAGUUUGGUUAGAAUGCCUGCCUGUCACGCAGGAGGUCGAGGGUUCGAGUCCCUUCCG
rnacentral:tRNA from 1 species